GAUGAACGCUGGCGGCGUGCCUAAUACAUGCAAGUCGAGCGAACGGACGAGAAGCUUGCUUCUCUGAUGUUAGCGGCGGACGGGUGAGUAACACGUGGAUAACCUACCUAUAAGACUGGGAUAACUUCGGGAAACCGGAGCUAAUACCGGAUAAUAUUUUGAACCGCAUGGUUCAAAAGUGAAAGACGGUCUUGCUGUCACUUAUAGAUGGAUCCGCGCUGCAUUAGCUAGUUGGUAAGGUAACGGCUUACCAAGGCAACGAUGCAUAGCCGACCUGAGAGGGUGAUCGGCCACACUGGAACUGAGACACGGUCCAGACUCCUACGGGAGGCAGCAGUAGGGAAUCUUCCGCAAUGGGCGAAAGCCUGACGGAGCAACGCCGCGUGAGUGAUGAAGGUCUUCGGAUCGUAAAACUCUGUUAUUAGGGAAGAACAUAUGUGUAAGUAACUGUGCACAUCUUGACGGUACCUAAUCAGAAAGCCACGGCUAACUACGUGCCAGCAGCCGCGGUAAUACGUAGGUGGCAAGCGUUAUCCGGAAUUAUUGGGCGUAAAGCGCGCGUAGGCGGUUUUUUAAGUCUGAUGUGGAAGCCCACGGCUCAACCGUGGAGGGUCAUUGGAAACUGGAAAACUUGAGUGCAGAAGAGGAAAGUGGAAUUCCAUGUGUAGCGGUGAAAUGCGCAGAGAUAUGGAGGAACACCAGUGGCGAAGGCGACUUUCUGGUCUGUAACUGACGCUGAUGUGCGAAAGCGUGGGGAUCAAACAGGAUUAGAUACCCUGGUAGUCCACGCCGUAAACGAUGAGUGCUAAGUGUUAGGGGGUUUCCGCCCCUUAGUGCUGCAGCUAACGCAUUAGGCACUCCGCCUGGGGAGUACGACCGCAAGGUUGAAACUCAAGGGAAUUGACGGGGACCCGCACAAGCGGUGGAGCAUGUGGUUUAAUUCGAAGCAACGCGAAGAACCUUACCAAAUCUUGACAUCCUUUGACAACUCUAGAGAUAGAGCCUUCCCCUUCGGGGGACAAAGUGACAGGUGGUGCAUGGUUGUCGUCAGCUCGUGUCGUGAGAUGUUGGGUUAAGUCCCGCAACGAGCGCAACCCUUAAGCUUAGUUGCCAUCAUUAAGUUGGGCACUCUAAGUUAACUGCCGGUGACAAACCGGAGGAAGGUGGGGAUGACGUCAAAUCAUCAUGCCCCUUAUGAUUUGGGCUACACACGUGCUACAAUGGACAAUACAAAGGGCAGCGAAACCGCGAGGUCAAGCAAAUCCCAUAAAGUUGUUCUCAGUUCGGAUUGUAGUCUGCAACUCGACUACAUGAAGCUGGAAUCGCUAGUAAUCGUAGAUCAGCAUGCUACGGUGAAUACGUUCCCGGGUCU
rnacentral:rRNA from 1 species